AUUGAACGCUGGCGGCAGGCCUAACACAUGCAAGUCGAGCGGAUGAAGGGAGCUUGCUCCUGGAUUCAGCGGCGGACGGGUGAGUAAUGCUUAGGAAUCUGCCUGGUAGUGGGGGAUAACGUCCGGAAACGGGCGCUAAUACCGCAUACGUCCUGAGGGAGAAAGUGGGGGAUCUUCGGACCUCACGCUAUCAGAUGAGCCUAGGUCGGAUUAGCUAGUUGGUGGGGUAAAGGCCUACCAAGGCGACGAUCCGUAACUGGUCUGAGAGGAUGAUCAGUCACACUGGAACUGAGACACGGUCCAGACUCCUACGGGAGGCAGCAGUGGGGAAUAUUGGACAAUGGGCGAAAGCCUGAUCCAGCCAUGCCGCGUGUGUGAAGAAGGUCUUCGGAUUGUAAAGCACUUUAAGUUGGGAGGAAGGGCAGUAAGUUAAUACCUUGCCGUUUUGACGUUACCAACAGAAUAAGCACCGGCUAACUUCGUG
rnacentral:rRNA from 1 species